rnacentral:rRNA from 1 species
GGAUGAUUUGUUGGACGCUAGCGGCGGAUGGGUGAGUAACACGUGGGCAAUCUGCCCUAAAGACUGGGAUACCACUUGGAAACAGGUGCUAAUACCGGAUAACAACAUGAAUCGCAUGAUUCAAGUUUGAAAGGCGGCGCAAGCUGUCACUUUAGGAUGAGCCCGCGGCGCAUUAGCUAGUUGGUGGGGUAAAGGCCUACCAAGGCAAUGAUGCGUAGCCGAGUUGAGAGACUGAUCGGCCACAUUGGGACUGAGACACGGCCCAAACUCCUACGGGAGGCAGCAGUAGGGAAUCUUCCACAAUGGACGCAAGUCUGAUGGAGCAACGCCGCGUGAGUGAAGAAGGUUUUCGGAUCGUAAAGCUCUGUUGUUGGUGAAGAAGGAUAGAGGCAGUAACUGGUCUUUAUUUGACGGUAAUCUACCAGAAAGUCACGGCUAACUACGUGCCAGCAGCCGCGGUAAUACGUAGGUGGCAAGCGUUGUCCGGAUUUAUUGGGCGUAAAGCGAGCGCAGGCGGAAUGAUAAGUCUGAUGUGAAAGCCCACGGCUCAACCGUGGAACUGCAUCGGAAACUGUCAUUCUUGAGUGCAGAAGAGGAGAGUGGAACUCCAUGUGUAGCGGUGAAAUGCGUAGA